UGCGUUGGGUGAAUUGGCACUCAAUAAGAACCAAUCGGGGUUAGUUGU
rnacentral:ncRNA from 12 species